rnacentral:lncRNA from 1 species
CCUGGGCCCUUUUUCUUCCUCGGCGGCGCCGCGUGUCCUCGUAGCGCGGUCUCUGUGUUGGUCUCCUGCUCCUAGAGGUUGAGAACAAAAAGAUGCACCUGGACUUUCCCCGGAGCACUCUGCGUGGUUGAGCUUCGGUGGAAUUUCGGGGCUCUUGGCUGCCAGCCGCGCUUGCCUGGUAGCAACAGAAACCAGUCCCGCUCGCCUCCGUGCCACAAAAAAGCCACACCCAAGAUCACCUGAC